AUUGAACGCUGGCGGCAUGCCUUACACAUGCAAGUCGAACGGUAACAGGUCUUCGGAUGCUGACGAGUGGCGAACGGGUGAGUAAUACAUCGGAACGUGCCUAGUAGUGGGGGAUAACUACUCGAAAGAGUGGCUAAUACCGCAUGAGAUCUACGGAUGAAAGCAGGGGAUCGCAAGACCUUGUGCUACUAGAGCGGCCGAUGGCAGAUUAGGUAGUUGGUGGGAUAAAAGCUUACCAAGCCGACGAUCUGUAGCUGGUCUGAGAGGACGAUCAGCCACACUGGGACUGGGACACGGCCCAGACUCCUACGGUAGGCAGCAGUGGGGAAUUUUGGACAAUGGGCGCAAGCCUGAUCCAGCAAUGCCGCGUGCAGGAUGAAGGCCUUCGGGUUGUAAACUGCUUUUGUACGGAACGAAAAGCCCUGGGUUAAUACCCUGGGGUCAUGACGGUACCGUAAGAAUAAGCACCGGCUGACUACGUGCCAGCAGCCGCCGUAA
rnacentral:rRNA from 1 species